GAUGAACGCUGGCGGCGUGCCUAAUACAUGCAAGUCGAGCGAACAGAUGAGGAGCUUGCUCCUCUGACGUUAGCGGCGGACGGGUGAGUAACACGUGGAUAACCUACCUAUAAGACUGGGAUAACUUCGGGAAACCGGAGCUAAUACCGGAUAAUAUAUUGAACCGCAUGGUUCAAUAGUGAAAGACGGUUUUGCUGUCACUUAUAGAUGGAUCCGCGCCGCAUUAGCUAGUUGGUAAGGUAACGGCUUACCAAGGCAACGAUGCGUAGCCGACCUGAGAGGGUGAUCGGCCACACUGAACUGAGACACGGUCCAGACUCCUACGGGAGGCAGCAGUAGGGAAUCUUCCGCAAUGGGCGAAAGCCUGACGGAGCAACGCCGCGUGAGUGAUGAAGGUCUUCGGAUCGUAAAACUCUGUUAUUAGGGAAGAACAAAUGUGUAAGUAACUAUGCACGUCUUGACGGUACCUAAUCAGAAAGCCACGGCUAACUACGUG
rnacentral:rRNA from 1 species